rnacentral:lncRNA from 1 species
CUUUAACGUCUUGUUACACAGGCAGUCCUGAGGGUGUUCAAAGAGACCCAAAUUCUGCUGUCUGCAGAGCUGCUAGCUCUGCAAGGCCCGAGCCAGCCGUGAUGGGAGUUAAUGCUACGAACUCACCAAGUUUCUCUUACCUAAAGGCACCUGGGAGGUGUUCCUACUGAACAAAUGCAAAGAUCUCAAAUCUGAGAAAAGCUUGCUUUGACCAGAAUGUUUUCAGUGUAGUUUAAGAGCCUGGAAGGAAGAGAAGAAGC